CGCGUAGGCGGUUUUGUUAGUCAGGCGUGAAAGCCCCGGGCUCAACCCGGGAACUGCGUUUGAUACUGCAAGACUUGAGGACGGAAGAGGAAAGUGGAAUUCCUAGUGUAGAGGUGAAAUUUGUAGAUAUUAGGAGGAACACCAGAGGCGAAGGCGGCUUUCUGGCCCGUUACUGACGCUGAGGCGCGAAAGCGUGGGGAGCAAACA
rnacentral:rRNA from 1 species